rnacentral:rRNA from 1 species
UACGUAGGUGGCAAGCGUUGUCCGGAAUUAUUGGGCGUAAAGCGCGCGUAGGCGGUUUUUUAAGUCUGAUGUGAAAGGUCAGGGCUUAACCGUGGAGAGUCAUUGGAAACUGGAAGACUUGAGUGCAGAAGAGGAAAGUGGAAUUCCAUGUGUAGCGGUGAAAUGCGUAGAGAUAUGGAGGAACACCAGUGGCGAAGGCGACUUUCUGGUCUGUAACUGACGCUGAGGUGCGAAAGCGUGGGGAUCAAACAGG